rnacentral:rRNA from 1 species
UGAGGAAUAUUGCACAAUGGGCGCAAGCCUGAUGCAGCAACGCCGCGUGCGGGACGAAGGCCCUCGGGUCGUAAACCGCUUUUCUGGGGGACGAGCAAGGACGGUACCUCAGGAAUAAGUCUCGGCUAACUACGUGCCAGCAGCCGCGGUAAAACGUAGGAGGCGAGCGUUAUCCGGAUUUACUGGGCGUAAAGCGCACGCAGGCGGCCGGGUGAGUCGGACGUGAAAGCUCCUGGCUUAACUGGGAGAGGCCGUUCGAUACUGCUCGGCUUGAGGUUGGGAGAGGGGUGCGGAAUUCCCGGUGUAGUGGUGGAAUGCGUAGAUAUCGGGAGGAACACCAGUGGCGAAGGCGGCACCCUGGCCCACACCUGACGCUGAGGUGCGAAAGCGUGGGUAGCAAACAGG